rnacentral:lncRNA from 1 species
AUGGCAGAUGAAAGUAAGCCCACUGAAAGUUGUGCUGAGCUUAAAACACAAGACGAUGAAAGGCAUGUGGAUACAGAAGAACAGGCAAAUGGAGAGGAAGCUCAACAGUCCUCAAUAUCUAUUAAUUCACAAUCAGAAAACCCACGCAGAAGCCAGCGCACACGCACACUCACUGAAAAGGGAAAAUCUUUGGAAGAUGCAAAGUUACAUGGUUUGACCAAGGAUUUUCAGCGAUUCUACAAGAAAUGGAAAUAUCACAUAAACUCUUUUAAGAGAAUGGUGAAAAAUAAAGAUAUUGAUUUAAUACCUGAAGCUGUGAGUGCCAUAGACACCAUUAUGACUGAUAUGUACAACACAUAUGAUGAUAUUAGAAGAAUUGAAAGUCCUGAUGUAGAAAUACGGAGAAGAUGUGAUGUUUGUUGUGCUGUCAGUGAAGCAGCCAGAGCAAAGGCAAAGUGCCUUUUGGAGGAAAAUGGGGAUCCAGAUAGUAUUCCUUGGCCAGAUUCUGAAUCUGUGUUUGAAAGCAGUACAUCCAGCAUCAGCUCAAGGAUCACAUUUAAGUCAAAGUCCAUCUCUGAAAUGUCCAGGCAGUCAUCUCUAGUUUCACUGCAACAAAGACAGGAAGCUGCAGCUGAAGUGGCAGCAACAGAAGAGGUCAUUAAAAUAAUGAAGACACAACAUCAAUGUGAGGAAGAAAUCAGAGAACUUGAAGUUGAGGAUGCAAAGAAAAGAGCCCAAUUUCUAACAGAGAGCACUACAAUAAAGACAAAACUGGAAGAGAAGAGAAAAGAAGUGGAACUAUUGAAGGAGCUGCAAAAGCACAAUGCGGCACAAGCAAGAUUAAAAGUGUAUGCUGAAAGCAUAAAAGGUGAGGGUGAAGAACCGCCUAACAUUUACAAACAAGAUAGCUCCCUUCUACCAUCAUGCUUUCUGAAUGUUCACUCAAAGCCAUUCAUUCCUUCUCAAGUUAAAGAUCCUGCAAAUCAACGAUUUGUCCAGAAAACAGAAAUUCCAACUGCAAGUGAAGCAGCCUCCAUUGAUCUUGUAAAGACACUUGCUGAAGCAAUCACAGCCAAUAGACUUCCAGUGCCUGAACCUGCAGUCUUCACAGGUGACCCGCUGCAGUAUAAUGACUGGAAGCUGUCUUUUCAAACAUUGGUUGAUCGCAAAAAUCUGCCAACACAAGAAAAGCUUUUCUUCUUGAGAAAGUACGUUGGAGGUUCAGCUAAGAAGGCUAUCGAAGGUCACUUUCUAGCUGGAACAGAUACAGCAUAUUGUGCUGCUUGGGAAAUGCUCGACGACAGAUUUGGAGAUCCUUUUGUGAUUGGCAAGUCUUAUCGUGACAGGAUUCAAUCAUGGCCUAAAAUCACAGCCAAGGACAGAAAAGAUUUACGUGAGUUUGCUGAUUUCUUAACAAGUGUUGAAUCAGCCAUUCCAUAUGUCCAAGGUUUACAAGUUUUAAACGACUGUGUGGAAAAUCAGAGAACACCAGCAAAGUUAGCUGAUUGGUUAAGUGCACGUUGGAACAGGAAAGUUACAGAGUUCCAAGAUGAACACAAAAUGUUUCCUGAUUUCAGUCAUUUUGUAAAAUUUUUAAAUAAAGAAGCAAAAAUUGCAUGCAACCCGAUUACCUCACUGCAGGCAAUAAAGCCAACUGAAUUAGAUAACAAGCAUCCAUACAAAGACAAAUCAAGAAGAAGUGGUACCCUGAGUGCUAAAACUCUUAACACAAGCUCAAAUGAAAAGACAUUUGUUACAUGUCUCUUUUGUAAGAAACCUGGUCACACACUACAUAAAUGUCGAAAGAUGAUGGAAAUAUCAGUUGAAGAAAGAGUUAAGUUUGUGAAGGCUGAAAACCUGUGCUUAGGUUGCCUCAAGUAUGGUCAUAACUCUAAGAACUGUAAGUCUAGAAGUGUGUGCAACAGAUGUCAGAAACCUCACCCAAGUUGUCUACAUCAAGACAGAGAAAAGGGGGAUGAAGAGAAAAGAGCAAAGAAUAAUCAACAACCAACAAACCACAAUCAGGAGACAGAAAAGGUGUCUGAAGCACAAGAGCAAGAAUCUCAGCAAGUCACAUCCAACAGAGUAUUACAACAAAAAUCAAAGGGUUGUACUUCCUCAGUAAUCCCAGUUAAUGUAUCAACCGUGGAUGAACCAGAGAAAGAAAGGCUUGUGUUUGCUUUGCUCGACACUCAAAGCGAUACAACUUUCAUCCUGAAGAACACAGCUGAAUCGCUGAAUACAAAAUUUGAACCGGUCCAACUCAAGAUUUCCACUAUGACCUCCAAAACAAGGAUUGUGUCAAGUCACAAGUUAAAGGACUUACAAGUAAGAGGAAUGAACUCGACUUCCGUUACGGCGCAAGGCUGA